CCCGCUGAACUUAAGCAUAUCAAUAAGCGGAGGAAAAGAAACUAACAAGGAUUCCCCUAGUAACGGCGAGUGAAGCGGGAAGAGCUCAAAUUUGAAAUCUGGUGGCCUCAGGUCAUCCGAGUUGUAAUCUAUAGAAACGUUUUCCGUGCUGGCUCAUGUACAAGUCCCUUGGAACAGGGCGUCAUAGAGGGUGAGAAUCCCGUCCUUGACAUGAACUACCAGUGCUCUGUGAUACGUUUUCAACGAGUCGAGUUGUUUGGGAAUGCAGCUCAAAAUGGGUGGUAAAUUCCAUCUAAAGCUAAAUAUUGGCGAGAGACCGAUAGCGAACAAGUACCGUGAGGGAAAGAUGAAAAGCACUUUGGAAAGAGAGUUAAACAGUAUGUGAAAUUGUUAAAAGGGAAACGAUUGAAGUCAGUCGUGCUCUUUGGAUUCAGCCGGUUCUGCCGGUGUACUUCCAUUGAGUGGGGUCAACAUCAGUUUUGAUCGCUGGAUAAAGGCAGGAAGAAUGUAGCACCUCCGGGUGAACUUAUAGCUUUCUGUCACAUACAGUGGUUGGGACUGAGGAACGCAGCAUGCCUUUAUGGCCGGGAUUCGUCCACGUACAUGCUUAGGAUGUUGACAUAAUGGCUUUAAACGACCCGUCUUGAAA
rnacentral:rRNA from 1 species